UACCCUUUGGUCAGAGUGCACCAACUUCGAUGGCGAAGCCGCGCCUACACAACUGCACAGAUCAACAUUGGUGGUUUGAAGUUGAAGAUGGCGAGGUUAACGCUAACAUUGCUGGCAUUGUCAUUGACUAUCGUAUAGUUGUUGUGCAAGUAGACAAGUGGACCAAAGACGAUACAGUCGCAAUACAAGCUGGAAAACGCCAUCAUGACCAGGAUGCGGACGUGUACUUCGUCAAAGUCAAGAGAUUCCUUGUGGGUGAGAACCUUUUCUGUCAGAAGUUUCGUGGAUGUUUGACGGCUGAUCAGUUUCGUGACAAGUAAUAUGAUCUGGACGCGUUUGGACCAUUCAGCAAGAUACACCCGCGAAAAGGAAAAACACUGGAGCUCACGAUCGUCGUGAAGGUAAUGUUGGGGCGGCAACAUCUUUGGUUGCUUCAACGUCCACCGCUACCACCUCCAAGACAACACCGAAGGCUCCCAGGUCCACCUCGGUCCGAUCCAAGUCAACACUGACGGCUUCCAAAUCCAUCAACAGUGACGUCGACAGCGGGGACGGAUUUGAGCGUCAAAAGAGAACAACGCCCAUUCCAGACAAGGAACUGGUGAUUCGACUCUUCAUGGCGAGGAGACAUGUGACUGCGGAGGCGCUUGCAACUGCCACACUUCCACGUCAAACAAAGAGGAGAACUGUUAUCUUCCAGUGGGUCGCAUCAAAGAUGCCAUUUGAUCAAAACGUGCGUUCGCUGACGAUGUGCCGUCUUGAGUGCCGUUUAAAAGGAAUUGGAACCGUUUGCAUGGACCGAGACCGCGCGCAGCAAGAUUCUCCAACACGUCACCUGCACGCUUGAAUCCUCCCCACUGCGACUGAUGCUCCGUUCUCGAGCACUGUCCAAAACCGUCCCCAUUGCAACCUUUAUAUUACGACAAGUACAUGUGAUUGCGGUUUGACUACAUUCGUCCACGAACAAUAGAUUCAAUUGCUUAUUCAUAUUGCGCUAGGGUACUGCCAUAUGAUUUUUGUAAUUUGUAAUUUGUAAUACAAUGUGUAAUCCCAAAUGUCGGGAAGUUGUGAUGCCACAUAUGUUGCCAGUAGUCUCUGAUUGUUCUUUCUUUCGUGUUUUUGCUUCACUGCUGAGUUUAUACCGCAAACGUUUGCGCAUCGAAUUGUAUCGAGCACAAGCUGAAUUUGAAUUAGUUGAUAAGGGCCAUGUAGAUUUAGAACUUGUAAUUAGAGCUAUCAGUAACAAACGAAUAGCUUGAAUUACAUUGCUGACGAAUGCUCAACAAGGGCAUG